rnacentral:rRNA from 1 species
GAAUAUUAGUCAAUGCUCGAAAGAGUGAACUAGCUAACUGAAAUCAAUUAUAAUAAUUGAUAACAUAAGGGAAAAUAACGAUAAUACCUUAUUAUUAGUGUCGUCCAAAUCUGGUGCCAGAAGACUCGGUAAGGCCAGAGACACAAACGUUAAUCGUCUUAAUCAGGCGUAAAGGGUUUGUAGGCGGCUUUUAAAAAUAACUUAUAAAAUUUAACUAAGUUAAGAAUAAAAGCUAGAAUCAAAUAGAGGAUAUAUCAAAUAAUGCUUAGAGUAGGUCUGAUAUCCUUAGAUACUAAGUAGAAUAUUAAAGGCGAAAGCUUUUUUUCCAUUAACGAUUGACGCUCAGAAACGAAGGUGAGGAUAGGAAAUAGGAUUAGAUACCCAAAAUACCCCUCUCUGUCAACGAUGAAUGGUAGUUAUUAGUAAAAAUUUUAUUAAUGGCAAUGUUAACACGAUAACCAUUCCGCCUUGUGAGUACAACUGCAAAGUUGAAAACAAAAAAAUUAGUCGGUUUCGGAGCAAACGAAGUGAAGCAUGUUAUUUAAUUC